AUAAAAGCUGGGAGAAAUGUUUCAAGUAAACAGACUUUGGAAAAAUUCACUGAAGAGGGAAUAUCAGAGCUUGAUAUGAGUUUGGUCAGAUGGAACCAUCAGGAAAUUUGACCUGAAUUCAGGGAUAGCUUCUGGACAAGAGAAAAUGCAUUUCUUGGAAUGCCUGUCAGGCAGCACCAGAACUGGCCAGGACAAUGCUCCAGCUCCUCUUGGGAGCUGCUGUGGUGGAUGUGGCCCUGCAGAGAUCCCUGCUGGCUCAAGAGGAGGAGG